UGUUAAAUUCAUCCAUUUGUACUGUUAAAAACUGGUGUGACUAAUGGGAUAACUAGACAAAGACACAUGGUGUGGCACACGUACCUUAUGCUAAUAUAUAAUGACCAAAUUUUAACAAUAGAAAUAGAUGAAAUUUUUAACA
rfam:Gossypium hirsutum cultivar TM-1 chromosome 6, whole genome shotgun sequence